GCGGGCGUAGUUUAGUGGUAAAACCUCAGCCUUCCAAGCUGAUGAUGUGAGUUCGAUUCUCAUCGCCCGCUCCA
rnacentral:tRNA from 1 species